rnacentral:rRNA from 1 species
CCUACGGGAGGCUGCAGUGGGGAAUAUUGGACAAUGGGGGGAACCCUGAUCCAGCCAUGCCGCGUGUGUGAAGAAGGCCCUCGGGUUGUAAAGCACUUUCAGUGAGGAAGAACGCCUGUUGGUUAAUACCCAUCAGGAAAGACAUCACUCACAGAAGAAGCACCGGCUAACUCCGUGCCAGCAGCCGCGGUAAUACGGAGGGUGCGAGCGUUAAUCGGAAUUACUGGGCGUAAAGCGCGCGUAGGUGGCUUGAUAAGCCGGUUGUGAAAGCCCCGGGCUCAACCUGGGAACGGCAUCCGGAACUGUCAAGCUAGAGUGCAGGAGAGGAAGGUAGAAUUCCCGGUGUAGCGGUGAAAUGCGUAGAGAUCGGGAGGAAUACCAGUGGCGAAGGCGGCCUUCUGGACUGACACUGACACUGAGGUGCGAAAGCGUGGGUAGCAAACAGGAUUAGAUACCCGAGUAGUC